rnacentral:misc_RNA from 1 species
AUCAAUUUGAGCUUCUCUUUGCUGGAUCGACUCGGGAAAAUCCAAAUGCAGCCUUAAAACCUUUAGUCCCAUGGACCUGGCAUGGUUUACAGCACCGGAGAGAUCGCCAUCAGUAGCAAGAACUACUUUAUCACCUUCAUCAUCUUCAUACAAAAGCAGAGGACGACUAGCACUAUUAGUAGCACCAAUCCUUUGCAUCACAACAGAUACCAACUCAUCUAAGGUCUCCGUGCCACAAUUUACGCGAUGUACCCG